UAGUCCAUGCCGUAAACGAUGAACACUAGGUGUGGCGGACUUAUUGACGUCUGCCGUGCCGAAGCUAACGCAUUAAGUGUUCCGCCUGGGGAGUACGGCCGCAAGAUUAAAACUCAAAGGAAUUGACGGGGACCCGCACAAGCGGUGGAGCAUGUGGUUUAAUUCGAGGCAACGCGAAGAACCUUACCAGCCCUUGACAUACCUCUCGCGGAUUUCAGAGAUGAUUUCCUUCAGCUUGGCUGGAGAGUGUACAGGUGCUGCACGGCUGUCGUCAGCUCGUGUCGUGAGAUGUUGGGUUAAGUCCCGCAACGAGCGCAACCCUCGUCCUUAGUUGCCAGCAGUUCGGCUGGGCACUCUAAGGAAACUGCCCGUGAUAAGCGGGAGGAAGGUGAGGAUGACGUCAAGUCUUCAUGGCCCUUACGGGUUGGGCUACACACGUGCUACAAUGGCAACUACAGUGGGUUAAUCCCCAAAAGUUGUCUCAGUUCGGAUUGGGGUCUGCAACUCGACCCC
rnacentral:rRNA from 1 species